rnacentral:rRNA from 1 species
GACGAACGCUGGCGGCGUGCUUAACACAUGCAAGUCGAACGGUAAGGCCCUGCUUUUGUGGGGUGCUCGAGUGGCGAACGGGUGAGUAACACGUGAGUAACCUGCCCUUGACUGUGGGAUAACUUCAGGAAACUGGGGCUAAUACCGGAUAGGAGCUCCUGCUGCAUGGUGGGGGUUGGAAAGUUUCGGCGGUUGGGGAUGGACUCGCGGCUUAUCAGCUUGUUGGUGGGGUAGUGGCGUACCAAGGCUUUGACGGGUAGCCGGCCUGAGAGGGUGACCGGCCACAUUGGGACUGAGAUACGGCCCAGACUCCUACGGGAGGAAGCAGUGGGGAAUAGUGCAAGAUGGGCGGAAGCCUGAUGCAGCAACGCCGCGUGCGAGAUGACGGCCUUCGGGGUGUAAACCGCGUUCGCCUGUGACGAAGCGUGAGUGACGGUAAUGGGUAAAGAAGCACCGGCUAACUACGUG